GACGAACGCUGGCGGCGUGCCUAAUACAUGCAAGUCGAACGAACUCUGGUAUUGAUUGGUGCUUGCAUCAUGAUUUACAUUUGAGUGAGUGGCGAACUGGUGAGUAACACGUGGGAAACCUGCCCAGAAGCGGGGGAUAACACCUGGAAACAGAUGCUAAUACCGCAUAACAACUUGGACCGCAUGGUCCGAGUUUGAAAGAUGGCUUCGGCUAUCACUUUUGGAUGGUCCCGCGGCGUAUUAGCUAGAUGGUGAGGUAACGGCUCACCAUGGCAAUGAUACGUAGCCGACCUGAGAGGGUAAUCGGCCACAUUGGGACUGAGACACGGCCCAAACUCCUACGGGAGGCAGCAGUAGGGAAUCUUCCACAAUGGACGAAAGUCUGAUGGAGCAACGCCGCGUGAGUGAAGAAGGGUUUCGGCUCGUAAAACUCUGUUGUUAAAGAAGAACAUAUCUGAGAGUAACUGUUCAGGUAUUGACGGUAUUUAACCAGAAAGCCACGGCUAACUACGUGCCAGCAGCCGCGGUAAUACGUAGGUGGCAAGCGUUGUCCGGAUUUAUUGGGCGUAAAGCGAGCGCAGGCGGUUUUUUAAGUCUGAUGUGAAAGCCUUCGGCUCAACCGAAGAAGUGCAUCGGAAACUGGGAAACUUGAGUGCAGAAGAGGACAGUGGAACUCCAUGUGUAGCGGUGAAAUGCGUAGAUAUAUGGAAGAACACCAGUGGCGAAGGCGGCUGUCUGGUCUGUAACUGACGCUGAGGCUCGAAAGUAUGGGUAGCAAACAGGAUUAGAUACCCUGGUAGUCCAUACCGUAAACGAUGAAUGCUAAGUGUUGGAGGGUUUCCGCCCUUCAGUGCUGCAGCUAACGCAUUAAGCAUUCCGCCUGGGGAGUACGGCCGCAAGGCUGAAACUCAAAGGAAUUGACGGGGGCCCGCACAAGCGGUGGAGCAUGUGGUUUAAUUCGAAGCUACGCGAAGAACCUUACCAGGUCUUGACAUACUAUGCAAAUCUAAGAGAUUAGACGUUCCCUUCGGGGACAUGGAUACAGGUGGUGCAUGGUCGUCGUCAGCUCGUGUCGUGAGAUGUUGGGUUAAGUCCCGCAACGAGCGCAACCCUUAUUAUCAGUUGCCAGCAUUAAGUUGGGCACUCUGGUGAGACUGCCGGUGACAAACCGGAGGAAGGUGGGGAUGACGUCAAAUCAUCGUGCCCCUUAUGACCUGGGCUACACACGUGCUACAAUGGAUGGUACAACGAGUUGCGAACUCGCGAGAGUAAGCUAAUCUCUUAAAGCCAUUCUCAGUUCGGAUUGUAGGCUGCAACUCGCCUACAUGAAGUCGGAAUCGCUAGUAAUCGCGGAUCAGCAUGCCGCGGUGAAUACGUUCCCGGGCCUUGUACACACCGCCCGUCACACCAUGAGAGUUUGUAACACCCAAAGUCGGUGGGGUAACCUUUUAGGAACCAGCCGCCUAAGGUGGGACAGAUGAUUAGGGUG
rnacentral:rRNA from 2 species